CACAUUUUUCCUUCCCUCACUCUCUCAUCCCAUCUGCCUAUAUAUUAAUAACCUAUUUUGUUAGUAUUACACCCCUAAAUACUACAAAGCCCUGCCCCGUUUUAAGUAUUGUAACCCCCGAUCACUGAUACCCUGUCCGAUUGAUCUAUGGCCCCGUAACAAAUGUCAAGGCUCUGCCUAACUAAGUUUAUUGGGGUUCUGUCUCAUGACAUAGGGAUAAAUUCAGGAGUUAUACCCACGAUAUAACAACCCUCCUAAAACAUCCCUGACACCCCUACACCUCCUAAAAUAUACCCCGUAUGCGAUAAACGAGCCCGUAUACCCAUCUCCCCGGGUCUGUCGCGGGGCGCGACAUAGUGACACCAGGCGGAAACCGCUUGCGCCACGUGUCCCAACGCGUGUGAAGGCUACCCGGGUGACUCGCCAAGCCUACAGCCUAACCUACAUCCCUCGCGGGCCGCGAAGCCCUCUUGUGUUUCCUUCGCGGGGCGUGACAAGGUGUCGGUCAGACACUAUAAAUACAAGGCAUCGGUCUUCAGUCCUAUCUCGUUCAGAAUUCUCAACUCUCUCUCAAAUCUCUAAAGCUAAAAAUUAUACCCGGGCAUUAUACCCCCCUAAUAAGCGAAGCUCUGCCUCAUCAUUAUAACCAGGAAGUCACAGGAAAAAUACCUAAAGUAGCAAUGUAAUAAAAAUGUGAAAGCCAAAUAGAAGCCAACUGGAGAGCACUGAAGGCUUAGAAAAGUGGCUCUAAAAGUUACCUAAAUAAAAAAGAGAUUUUAAUUUAGGUUUAUCCCUGUAAAUGCAUUGUAAAGAAAACUUGGGUUUUAUCCCAUAUAUCUAUUUUAAACAUUUUGGUGUUUA
rnacentral:lncRNA from 1 species